AGGGCGACCCAGGACCACCUGGCAAGCCAGCUCCCAGUGUGGCCGGUGUUGGAGGAGAGAAGGGUGACAGAGGCUUCCCAGGACCAGAAGGACCUCCUGGCCCCAAGGGUGAUAUGGGAGAUAAAGGUGCCCGUGGUGCCCCUGGUCUGAGCAUCCCAGGACCAGCUGGCCCCAAAGGCGAGCAGGGUGAUCGGGGCAUCGCUGGCCUCACGGGCAGGAGUGGCCCAAAGGGUGACCCAGGGGAGCCAGGAGAGAAGGGCGAGCCAGGCCGAGCAGGCAUCCCAGGACAGACUGGGCUGCGUGGCAAGGAGG